rnacentral:rRNA from 1 species
AGAGUUUGAUUAUGGCUCAGGAUGAACGCUGGCGGCGUGCUUAACACAUGCAAGUCGAGCGAAGCACUUUUUUAGAACUCUUCGGAGGGAAGAGAGGGUGACUUAGCGGCGGACGGGUGAGUAACGCGUGGGCAACCUGCCUUACACAGGGGGAUAACAAUUAGAAAUGAUUGCUAAUACCGCAUAAGACCCCAGUGCCGCAUGGUACAGGGGUAAAAACUGAGGUGGUGUAAGAUGGGCCCGCGUCUGAUUAGGUAGUUGGUGGGGUAGAAGCCUACCAAGCCGACGAUCAGUAGCCGACCUGAGAGGGCGACCGGCCACAUUGGGACUGAGACACGGCCCAAACUCCUACGGGAGGCAGCAGUGGGGAAUAUUGCACAAUGGGGGAAACCCUGAUGCAGCGACGCCGCGUGAGUGAGGAAGUAUUUCGGUAUGUAAAGCUCUAUCANCAGGGAAGAAAAUGACGGUACCUGACUAAAAAGCCCCGGCUAACUACGUGCCAGCAGCCGCGGUAAUACGUAGGGGGCAAGCGUUAUCCGGAUUUACUGG